UACGUAGGGUGCGAGCGUUGUCCGGAUUUAUUGGGCGUAAAGGGCUCGUAGGCGGCGUGUCGCGUCGGGAGUGAAAGACCGGGGCUUAACCCCGGUUCUGCUUCCGGUACGGGCAUGCUGGAGUGUGGCAGGGGAGACUGGAAUUCCGGGUGUAGCGGUGGAAUGCGUAGAGAUCCGGAAGAACACCGGUGGCGAAGGCGGUGAGCUGGGCAGUUGCUGACACUGAGGCGCGACAGCGUGGGGAGCAAACAGG
rnacentral:rRNA from 1 species